rnacentral:piRNA from 1 species
UGGUAGUUAUGGAGACCCCCCAGGUGUUUA